rnacentral:rRNA from 1 species
UACGGGGGGGGCAAGCGUUGUUCGGAAUUACUGGGCGUAAAGGGCUCGUAGGCGGCCAACUAAGUCGGACGUGAAAUCCCCAGGCUCAACCUGGGAACUGCGUCCGAUACUGGAUGGCUUGAAUCCGGGAGAGGGAUGCAGAAUUCCAGGUGUAGCGGUGAAAUGCGUAGAUAUCUGGAGGAAUACCGGUGGCGAAGGCGGCAUCCUGGGACCGGCAUUGACGCUGAGGAGCGAAAGCCAGGGGAGCAAACGGG